rnacentral:rRNA from 1 species
GAUGAACGCUGGCGGCGUGCCUAAUACAUGCAAGUCGAGCGACGCGGGGACGGGUGCGUCACACGUGGAUAACCUCCUAUAAGACUGGGCUAAAUUCAGGGAACAGGAGCUAAACCUGAUACUUAUAGCUGGAUCCGCACUGCAUUAGCUAGUUGGUAAGGUAACGGCUUACCAAGGCAACGAUGCAUAGCCGACCUGCGAGGGUGAGCGGCCAAACGGGAACUGAGACACGGGCCAGAAUCCUACGGUAGGGAGCAGUAGGGAAUCUUCCGAAAUGGGCGAAAGCCUGACGGAGCAACGCCGCGGGGGUGAUGAAGGUCUUCGGAUCGUAAAACUCUGGUAUUAGGGAAGCGGUACCUAAUCAGAAAGGAACGGCUAACGACGUGCCAGCAGCGGCGGUAAUAC